rnacentral:lncRNA from 1 species
ACUUGAAUGAAGAUGCACCUGUCUCUACAUAGAAAUCUUUUUAACAUCACAGUAGCGACGACCACAGUCCUAGUUUAGAAUCAUUAUUAUGACGAUAGGAAUUUGUAGCAGCCCUCAACCCGUGGCCUUCUGAACCGUCUCUCCACUGUCCUAUAAGGGAGGGCUAACUGUAUUCCUGGUCGCUCCUGGGACUGGGAGCUCCUGGGGAAGGAAUCCUAAAGGAGUGGUUGUCAAUGCAUUUUCAUUAACAGCCGCGCUUCUCGGCAGCCUCCUAGGGCUGGGGUGGCCACGUGCUCCCUUAAACUGUUUUCACAACUCGAGGCUGUGCUGUGGGUGGCAACUUGAAGGUUUCCAAGAACUUUUCGUUUUUCUUUGGGCCAACAUUUCUGUUUUCUGUCAAUCAAUAGUUUAGUUAUUUAAAAAUAAGAAGGUGAAGAGGGAGUUAUUUAGGGUGGGAACCAGAAUAGACUUCAAAAAAGAAAUCCGUAUUACCCAGUUGGCGUCCCAGCGGUUCCCCGAAUGGCCUAGAGCCCCCAGCACCUGCCGAGGCCGCGCCAUGCACCUGGCUGGGCUCAAACUGGCCAACUCAGACCUGGCCUGGGCGCCCGAAGGCUGCAGGGGGGACGCUCCGGUCCGAGCCACCGCCUGGGCCCGAAAGAGCCGCUCCUGGGAAGCAAUGCCGGGCCAAUCUCAAAUCCCAAAUUCUGGAAAGCACUACUUCCCACGCAGUAAAGGGAAGCCCGGGCGCCUCAAAACCAAACCUUGGAAGACGCUGGAGGAGCAAAGCCUGCAAGUUUCCAGCGGGGCUGGCGGGGCAGGGGCCGGCGCACGAGGCUGGAGGAGGGGAGCGCGCGCUUCUACCCGGGCUGGGUCGCCGAGGUCCGCGGCGCAUCGUGGCGGCGGUGGGCGGAGGGGGGCGGGGGGCACCUCUUCUCCCUUGUGGCGCACGCAGCGCAGGGCCCCGAGGACGGCCUGGCCCGGAGAAAAGAUACCGAAGCUCCAACUUUCCCCAACCCCGCUCCCCUCCUCCUUCCACCCUCCCUUCCCGCCCCCAAAGCUCGGGGGUCCUAUCCCUCCUCCGGUCCGCGGAGUCUCCCGAACCCUGCGGGGACCCGGCGCUCGGCGGUGCCCUCCUGGGGCGCACGGGGCUGGGGCGGGAGCGAGGAGACCAGGUGGGGAGGGGACCCCAGAUCUCAGACGCCAGGGGAGACGGCGUUUCCCGCUGUUCAUUCAGGUUUGUGCCAAAAGGAGCCUCACAGAUGCAGUAUUGGGUUUGGUAGACUCAAAUCGUCUUGUUUUAAUGUAAAUGAAGUCCUUCGACCCAGGCACGAGCGCCCAUCGCGGAGGCCACGAUGCCCGUUUUAUUCCCUCUCCACGGCAAGGAAAAGCAGCGAAAUCUGAGGUCUUCAGAGGUUAACCCUAUCUAGGAGCAGAAUGUGACGCAUUGUAAACAAAUAAAUAUUGAAAACUCGAUGUUAA